rnacentral:rRNA from 1 species
UGCAGUCUGCAACUCGACUGCAUGAAGCCGGAAUCGCUAGUAAUCGCGGAUCAGAAUGCCGCGGUGAAUACGUUCCCGGGUCUUGUACACACCGCCCGUCACACCAUGGGAGUCGGAAAUGCCCGAAGCCGGUGGCCUAACCGAUAAGGGAGGAGCCGUCGAAGGCAGGUCUGAUGACUGGGGUNAAGUCGUAACAAGGUAAC